rnacentral:rRNA from 1 species
UACGUAGGUGACCAGCGUUGUCCGGAUUUACUCGGCGUAAAGAGCGCGCAGGCGGUCGUUCAAGUCGAGUGUGAAAGCCCCCGGCUCAACUGGGGAGGGUCAUUCGAUACUGAUCGACUUGAAGGCAGGAGAGGGAAGUGGAAUUCCCGGUGUAGUGGUGAAAUGCGUAGAUAUCGGGAGGAACACCAGUGGCGAAGGCGACUUCCUGGCCUGUUCUUGACGCUGAGGCGCGAAAGCUAGGGGAGCAAACGGG